UUGUCUCAUGUUGCCAGCACGUUAUGGUGGGGACUCGUGAGAGACUGCCGGGGUCAACUCGGAGGAAGGUGGGGAUGACGUCAAGUCAUCAUGCCCCUUAUGUCCAGGGCUUCACACAUGCUACAAUGGCCGGUACAAAGGGCUGCGAUGCCGUGAGGUGGAGCGAAUCCUUUCAAAGCCGGUCUCAGUUCGGAUCGGGGUCUGCAACUCGACCCCGUGAAGUCGGAGUCGCUAGUAAUCGCAGAUCAGCAACGCUG
rnacentral:rRNA from 1 species